CUGGUGAAGACACGACUUGUCAUAAGCAAGAGACCUGCCAGCAAGUGAACACACUUCACUCCAUGCUAAGCAAAAGCUGUUACAAGACAUGGCAACGGGAUCACACCACAAGCUGAGUGCUGCUGCUGUCGCCCUGCUGCUGUCUGCCCUGUGGUGGAGCCUCCAUGCUGCUGAUGCCGGAGUUUUGUCCCGUCAUUUGAGCAGUAUUCCAGACCAAAAUCUACUUUAUCCAAGUCCAACCGACGGUUAUCGACGUUUUCUACGCCACAGUCAAUACGAAGGUCAUCCGUACACGCACGGAGCCAUUCAUCAUGACCUGUCCGCAAGCAAGCCCUUGGACAGACCAAAUUUGCACCAACUUUGGCAUGUCGCCAACCUCUCCAAGAAGAGGACUCACCUUUGCGUGGGCAUCGUCCCACACCUCUCCAAGUAGAUGACUUCAACAGUCCUAGGAAUGACCGCCAUCUAGAUUCUCAUAUUGAUGACCAUCCUGGGAUAAGCCAAAUGCCAAAAUCAAAAUCAAGUCAUAUACUCGGUUUCCCCAAUGAUAGAUGGUGUGUAAUGACUAGAAGAUGUGACUGACGACAACACAACAAACACACAAAAAACGAAACUAACGAAAGCAAGCAGACACAGUGAAGACAAAGAAAGUGUGGAGCAUCAUGAACCCAAGUCCGAUGCCAUCUAAAAGGUGUAGUGACACAUGGGCCCUUUCAAAGACAAAACAAAGAAGAGGUCCAAUUUAUCUACAUUACCAGAAGAAAAAAGUAAAACGUCAAUGCCUCCAUCCCCCCCCCCCCCCCCGAAAAGAAAAGAAGAAAAAGUUGAGAAAAUGAACCCCUUUCUUCAUCACAAGCAAGUCCACUAUUACCACUGUGGUGUCUAUAAUUGAAAAUCGGCAUCAUCAGUUGAGUAAAUAAAUCUGUUGUAACUUU